GAACUGAACAAUGCUGAAGGGAAACAGGGGGAUUUCCACUCUGGCCUGCUCAAGAACCUGUAGAGAACAGCACAGCCUGGAUAAGGGUACAGGAAGACCACCAGCUACAGCAAGAUAAAAACCAGCUGGAACCAGAGAUGCCUGAAGUUAGAGAUGAACUUGGCAAACUCUCUGCAUUACCAUACUAAAAAUCUCACCUAGGGAGGAACUUAUUCUCCAUUUUCUAUACAUGUAUGUGUCAAGGAACAAACCCUGCCUUUACAUGCAAUGACUCAGCCGACUAGCAAAAUAAAAGCCCUGCUUUUGCCUUCA